AGAGUUUGAUCAUGGCUCAGGAUGAACGCUGGCGGCGUGCUUAACACAUGCAAGUCGAACGAACCUUCGGGUUAGUGGCGGACGGGUGAGUAACGCGUGAGAAUCUGCCCUCAGGAGGGGGAUAACGGUUGGAAACGACCGCUAAUACCCCAUAUGCCGAGAGGUGAAAUGAAAUUCGCCUGAGGAUGAGCUCGCGUCUGAUUAGCUAGUUGGUAGGGUAAAGGCCUACCAAGGCAUUGAUCAGUAGCUGGUCUGAGAGGAUGAUCAGCCACACUGGGACUGAGACACGGCCCAGACUCCUACGGGAGGCAGCAGUGGGGAAUUUUCCGCAAUGGGCGCAAGCCUGACGGAGCAACGCCGCGUGAGGGAUGAAGGCCUCUGGGCUGUAAACCCCUUUUAUCAAGGAAGAAGAACUGACGGUACUUGAUGAAUAAGCCACGGCUAAUUCCGUGCCAGCAGCCGCGGUAAUACGGGAGUGGCAAGCGUUAUCCGGAAUUAUUGGGCGUAAAGCGUCCGCAGGCGGUUUUACAAGUCUGUCGUUAAAGCGUGGAGCUCAACUCCAUUUCAGCGAUGGAAACUGUAAGACUCGAGUGUGGUAGGGGCAGAGGGAAUUCCCGGUGUAGCGGUGAAAUGCGUAGAUAUCGGGAAGAACACCAGUGGCGAAAGCGCUCUGCUGGGCCAUAACUGACGCUCAUGGACGAAAGCCAGGGGAGCGAAAGGGAUUAGAUACCCCUGUAGUCCUGGCCGUAAACGAUGAACACUAGGUGUCGGGGGAAUCGACCCCCUCGGUGUCGUAGCCAACGCGUUAAGUGUUCCGCCUGGGGAGUACGCACGCAAGUGUGAAACUCAAAGGAAUUGACGGGGGCCCGCACAAGCGGUGGAGUAUGUGGGUUUAAUUCGAUGCAACGCGAAGAACC
rnacentral:rRNA from 1 species